CUCACUGUCACCAGUGCAUCUGCAGGGGGCUUCUCUUUGAUUCAGAGUAAAAUCAAGUUCUUUACCUAUGGAGGAGGUAGAUACUGAUGGAGUGGAUGACAAGGUGUUCUCUAGAUUCUGCAUCAUCUCCAUAUUCUGCAUCAUUAGUGAGCAACUUACCUAGGGAGGAGGUAGAUACUGACAGAGUGUAUGAGCAGUGAAUAAAAUAGAGGAGUGGCCUGUUCACCGGAGCAAGCGAGGAAGAUAGCUCAGCCCGACCACCAACGUCCACUCACCGGUUUCUUCGAUGCCUCGACCUCAAGCUGCAUCAGCUC